rnacentral:rRNA from 1 species
CAGCAGCCGCGGGAACACGUAGGGUGCAAGCGUUAAUCUGAAUUACUGGGCGUAAAGCGUGCGCAGGCGGUUAUAUAAGACAGAUGUGAAAUCCCCGGGCUCAACCUGGGAACUGCAUUUGUGACUGUAUAGCUAGAGUACGGCAGAGGGGGAUGGAAUUCCGCGUGUAGCAGUGAAAUGCGUAGAUAUGCGGAGGAACACCGAUGGCGAAGGCAAUCCCCUGGGCCUGUACUGACGCUCAUGCACGAAAGCGUGGGGAGCAAACAGGAUUAGAUACCCCGGUAGUCCCUGUCUCUUAUAC